CAGUGGAAGGUCGUGGUCUGUUGCGCUGUCAUCACUUUGCGGGCGACCGCUUCUUACGGGAGAUGGGGCUUCUUGAUUAGGCGACAAGAGAGCUGGACGAAUUAAUGGGACGAGUCCAAAAGCUACGCGUACAAUCGGCGACGAUCUAACAGGCCAAUCCGAGUCCAUUUCUUGUCCUGAUCGAACCGAUUAGCCACCCGACCGGACCAAAUCCCCACUGAUCCGCACCCGGGCGUUGGCCCCUGGAGAUCGAGUCGCGCCUCGCCUGGGAGCUCCCCACCCGCUUCUUGGGUACGAGAGCCGUGGUCUUUUUUAUUCCUCGCUCCGUUGCUCGCCCCAUCCUCCCCUGUUCCGAACGCCUAGGAUGGCAAUGGCGGUGGACUCCGCCGGCGAUCCCGCGAAGGACGAGGUGUCUGCGGCGUCGAUUCCGUCGGUUCUCAAAUCUUCGGCGAGCUCGGAGGACGAGAUCCGUGCCGUCGCCCGCAAGUUCGCCGACCAGCCCGUCCAGAACCCCGACUCCGGCGUCUGGGCCGUCCUCACCGCUAUCUCGAAGAACGCCCGCCAGCGACCCCAGGUACGGGUGCAUUAGAACUAGGAGUGCUGUAUCUUUUUUGUUCGUAAGUUACGCAAGAACCAAUCUUUGGUUUUCUCAAGAUUCUGAAACGGGGUGGAAUAGUUUAAAGUCGUAGUCCUUUUAUUUAAAAUUAUAAGAGGUUUGGGGGUCAUGCUAUAGCCGUUAAAACUCUCAGCCACCGGAUUUUCCAACUUUCUUCACGUUACUUGUUGAGAAAUAGCAAUCAAUCAUGUAAUUUGGUAGUAAAUUUAGGAUCGAUCAUUCAUAUUCUGAAGCGACAUAUCUACUAUUUGCUCGGCUAUUGGCUGUUUUGACCUUAUCCUACAAUCUUUUUUAUACCAUGUGCUUGGGGACCGACCUCAUAUAAAUCUUUGCUUCUGAAGGGCUGUAUCUUUUCUCAUAUUCUUUUCUGACACUUUGCAUAACUUGCACUGCGAACUUCUUUUGUCCACAUCGAUUGUUUCCAAGUUUGAUAAACGAAGUCUGAUAUUUCAGUUUGAUCAAGGUGCAUCCUUUGUUCCUCGUUGCACAUGAACAUAUCAUCCUGAUUGGUUCUUUGUAUUUCUUCCGACUAAUGCAACUCUUUGGCUUGUACAGAUGCUUGUUUCUCACUUGAUCUUUCUUAGUUUUAUGACAUGUUCAUCAAAGAACUAUGCUUUAAAAUUCUGCACUAUAUUCUUGUUAUCUCUUGACAACUGUUGCUGAUGGAGAUAGUUUAUACAAGGGAAUUAAUAUUCUUUUGAGUGCGGAUGAGCAUUGCCUGGGCCGAUGUGUAGAGGAUGCACAUUUCCAGAUUGGAGCAAUUGCUGUUAGCGCAAAUCAUUGCAGAAUUCUUAGGGACAGAGUAGCUGCUGCAGAUGGAGAGCUGGAUCCCAAUUUGUCUGUGCCGGUUUUCCUAAAAGACACAAGGUUGUAUUUAUAAAUGAUUCCUCAGAUGAUUGUAUGUAUAUAAACUGUUUUGUCCUAGCUUUUCAGCACGAACGGGACAUAUCUCAACUGGACAAAGCUAAGAAAACGUUCUCCACAAGCUAGACUUCAGCAUGGGGAUAUAAUAUCUUUUAUUGCUCCUCCACAUAAUGGUAAUAUACGAGAACUUUUUUCUCAUAGAAGUUGCAUUUGUUAGUCUGCCUUCUAUUAUGUCAUAGUAGUGGCAACUUUUAUUAGAGCUCUGUGAGCUGAUAUUGAUGAUCAAAAAGAUAUUUUUACUUAAAUACAAUAUCACAUGUUGUGUUGCUCCUGAUCUUGAAACUAAAUACUAUUUAUUUGUCUUUGCUAAUCAGGAGAUAGAGGGUGUGUAUACCAAUAUGCCCAGCAGUUUUAUGUUUCUGGGGUAACUGUAGUCUUCCAUGCAAUAUGCCUUUACUAAUCUUUAUGUUAAUUACAAGGAA